rnacentral:rRNA from 1 species
GACGAACGCUGGCGGCGUGCCUAAUACAUGCAAGUCGAACGCACUCUCGUUUAGAUUGAAGGAGCUUGCUCCUGAUUGAUAAACAUUUGAGUGAGUGGCGGACGGGUGAGUAACACGUGGGUAACCUGCCCUAAAGUGGGGGAUAACAUUUGGAAACAGAUGCUAAUACCGCAUAAAACCUAACACCGCAUGGUGUAGGGUUGAAAGAUGGUUUCGGCUAUCACUUUAGGAUGGACCCGCGGUGCAUUAGUUAGUUGGUGAGGUAAAGGCUCACCAAGACCGUGAUGCAUAGCCGACCUGAGAGGGUAAUCGGCCACACUGGGACUGAGACACGGCCCAGACUCCUACGGGAGGCAGCAGUAGGGAAUCUUCCACAAUGGACGAAAGUCUGAUGGAGCAACGCCGCGUGAGUGAAGAAGGUUUUCGGAUCGUAAAACUCUGUUGUUGGAGAAGAAUGUAUCUGAUAGUAACUGAUCAGGUAGUGACGGUAUCCAA